rnacentral:lncRNA from 10 species
UCGCGAGUAGCUGGGACUACAGGCUCCAGCCACCACGCCUGGCUAAUUUUUUGUAUUUUUAGUAGAGACGGGGUUUCACCGUGUUAGCCAGGAUGGUCUCUAUCUCCUGACCUCAUGAUCCACCCGCCUCGGCCUCCUAAAGUGCUGGGAUUACAGGCGUGAGCCACGGCGCCCCGCCUGCUUUUCUCCUUUCUGGCUACAUUGUGAAUGUGAGAGCUGGAGCGUGAAUACGCACCUUAGACUAUGAGUGGAAACCAUGUGCUAAGGAUGAUAGAGCCAAAGAUAAGAGCCCGGUUUCCUGGCAUCGUGGGACGGCGCGUCACCUCUAGAGAGACUACUACCUCCCUAGAGAGAUUUUUAACGAUGCUGUGACUACAACCCUCUGUUUAGUUAGUGGAAUUGAGAACAAGGCCCAGGUGGAUGAUUGAGGACUAAACCCCAAACUUGCCUUGGAUCACUCCACUGUUUCAGGUAAGAUCAGAGAGUAGUUAACUCUGAGUUAUACAAAUUGUUGUCUGCAGUAGCAUGAGAAUACAACUUUCAGAUCUCCUACUGCAGGAAGCAUAAUUUAUUUCCAGCCCUAGCUGCUGGUGUGCCCAGGAUUGAGGCCACACUUCCUGUGGGCUGCUCCCAGUCAGUGACUGAGUAUGGCAGGGAUAUCAAGGAGGCCCCUUCCUGGGAGGCAGGGGCUCCUCUAAUGGGCAACUUAGGUUCACUGACUCCCUUUUGACCUUGCUGAAACUUUCUGAGAACUACAAGGCAGUCUAUGGCCUGUCUUUCCUCCUUCCUCCCUCCCUCCCUCCCUUCCUUCCUUCCUUUCUUUCUCCCUCCCUCUUUUUCUCUUUUCCUCUUUCCGUCUCCAGUUUCUUCCAUUCUUCCUUCCUUCCCUUCUCCUCCCUCCUCUCCCUUCUCUCUUCCUUCCUCCCUCCCUCACUUCCUUCCUUCCUUCCUUCCUUCUUUCCCUCCUUCCCUCUGUCUUCCCAGGGGGCAGACGUGUGUCAUGAUCUGAUGGCUCUCCUAUCACCCUCUUGUUUCCUUCUCAUUAUCCCUCCCCAGUGCCCCAGUAUUUUCGCCAAUUAAUCUCUUAUCCAGCUAAUCCUUUUUUGGCAUUUGCUUGUCAGAGAACCUGGACUAAAUCAUUAUUUAACUAAUUUGUUUUGCAUGUGUAAUUUAGGAUCAAACAUCACUUCUGAGUUCGGGGGCACAUAUCAUUCUUUAGAAGGGGGAAGACCUAAUGCUGAAAAACAAAAACAAAAACAAAAACAAAAACCCAAUAUGUGCAUUCUAUGGAUCAACUGACUCUGUUGACCUAAACAUGUAGAACAGUAUUCCAGUUCUUAAUACUUUAAAAUCUCUAGAGCAAGGCCUUAUAGCUUGGAAGAAAACCAUUGGAAAGCCAAAAGGAAAGAAGUGGCACCAGCCAAUUCUCCUCAUUCUAGGCCCAGGGCAAUGAACUUAGGGAGGAGGUCGUGCAAACUGGAAACCAUAGCCUUGUUUCAUGGCUUAACUGGGGGUGGUUAAGGCUCUGAGAGGCAGGUUGUCACCUCAUUAUCUAUCCACCCAUGCACACAAUGAAGUCCAUGGAGAGCUCACUGUAUGACCAGCACUGGUGGGCCCUGAAGAUAACAGAGGUUAUCCUCAAGAAACUCAAGUCUAUGGAGAAGAUAGGCUUGGAAACAGACUAAUGACACAAUACAAGCCCUAAAACUGAGAUGUGAACUGACUUGGGAAGUAUGGUAAGGACACCUCCGACUGCUUGGCAGAUGGAAAGGCAUUUAAAGUGGAAACUGAAGGACAGAAGAGAUGGUCAGACAGUGAAGAGAAGUGACACUAAGGAGCCCCAUUCACAGAGAGCAAAAUAGAUACAUCUACAGUCUUUUUCUUCUUUUUCUUUUUUUUCAGCCAGGGUCUCACUCUGUCACCCAGGCUGGAGUGCAGUGGCGCGAUCUCAGCUCACUGCUGUCUCAACGUUCCAGGCUCAAGUGAUCCUCCCACCUCAGCCUCCCAAGUAGCUGGUACCACAGGUGGAUGCCACCAUGCCCAGCUAAUUUUUAUCUUAUUUUUGGUAGAGAUGAGGUCUCCCUAUGUUACCCAGGCUGGUCUCUGACUCCUGGCCCGAAGUGAUCCUCCUGCCUCAGCCUCCCAAAGUGCUGAGAUUACGGGUAUGAGUCACUGUGCCUGGAUUUUUUUUUUCUCACACAAAGAGAGAGGAAUUAAGUUUCUUCUCUUAAGGGAGGCAGUAUCAGAGGAUUUGUGGAUAUAUCUUUAAAAACAUCAUAUUGUUUUGAAAGACUACCACUCUGAAACAGACAUAAUUAGCAUAAAUGUAGAAAAAUGCACAAACUACUUGCUUCAAGUACUUGUCACAAACUACUUCAGUGGAUAGACUUCAUGCCAAGACUUAUCUAGAAGGUAAGGACAGGUUUUUUUGUGUUGUUUUGUUUUGUUUAUUUUUUUGAGACAGAGUCUCUGUCGCUCAGGCUGGAGUGCAGCGGCAUGAUCUUAGCUCACUGCAACCUGUGCCUCCUGGGUUCAAGCCAUUCUCCUGCCUCAACCUCCCAAAUAGCUGGGAUUACAGGCGCCCACCACCUCAUCUGGCUAAUUUUUGUGUUUUUAGUAGAUACGGGGUUUCACCAUGCUGGCCAGGCUGCUCUCAAACUCCCGAGCUCAAGUGAUCCAUCCACCUCAGCCUCCCAGAGUGCUAGGAUUACAGGUGUGAGCCACCACGCCCGGCUGACAAUGGCAGUAUUUAUCCUUCCAUUGUCAUUACUGCUUAGCAUUGAUCUGCUCACACAUGGGGUCUUGAAAUCUGAAUUGCUUUACUACAGAGAAUAAAAUAUUGAUAAAGAGAUUGGUAUCCAUGCAACAUAUUCUUUAAAAACAGGAUUCUAUCUUUAAUAAUUCAAAAUAAAAAAUAAGUCCCUAAAGGGCUGUAUUUGAAAUUGUAGCCCCACAACAUACAGAGCUGGUGACACAAUUUGCAACCUGCAUAUUUGCUGAAUUGCUUGAGCGUGUAUAGAGAGCAUUAGAACGUGUAUAUAGAGCGUGUAUAGAGAGAUUACAGAGGCUUCUUAUUUAUUUAUGUAUUUAUUUUAGAGAUAGAUUCUUGCUCUGUCACCCAGGCUGGAGUGCAGUGACACAAUCCUAGCUCACUGCAGCCUCAAACUCCUGGGCUCAAGCAAUCCUCCCACCUGAACCUCCCAAGUAGCUGGGACUGCAGAUUCAGGCCACCACAUGCCUAGCUAAUUUUUAAAAUUGUUUGUAGAGAUGGGGUCUCGCUGUGUUGCCCAGGCUGGUCUCGAACUCCUGGCCUCAAGUGAUUCUCCUGCCUCAGCCUUACAAUGUGUUGAGAUUACAGGCGUGAGCCACUGGGCCCUGCCUCCAGAGGCUUCUGUAUGGAUUCCGCUGUGAUCGCUAUGCACUAACACCCUGGGCCUCUCAGUCACAGAAUGGAAUGGGACGGGUUAUAGAGCUGGUCAGAGCGGGUGUGGCAGAUAAUAAGCAUCUACUUGUUGUUUUACAAUGCCCUCAAAAUUCUAUGCAAGAUCAUAAUCAAGUAGAGAAUGCUCAAAAGAGCAUUUUCCACUUCCUCCCAAAGCAAUUUGCUAACAUACGCACUGUUAAUAAUUCUCUUAAGUAGCUUAAUUUUUCCUGUGUAUAAUGAUAAUUGAAUUUUUUUCCUCUCAGAUGUAUUCAUCUGUUUCUUCCUGUGUUUCUUUUUCCUUUCUGAUGAGAGAAUGAACCCUCAAACCGCUUCUAAUUUAAGCUAACACCGCACAGGCUUUUUUGUAAUAUUGUAUUUGCUUUCCUUCCUCUUCUCUUUCCCCAGAGUGUAUUACAGAAGAGUUGUAACUAUUUCUCAAUUUUAAACAGCUGCUUUCUGGGGAAACAAACCAGCCGGAGAAUAAACUUAAAAAAAAAAAAAAAAAAAGAUCAGCACCUUCUCUCUUGCUUUUUAUUUGUUUUAUUUGUUAUUCGUCAUGUCUGUGGUUAUGGCUCCUCCAGGAGACCACAGAAUUUUAUCAAAAGAAUUGCACAUAAAUCACAGCCUAUUUUUACCAAAACUGGGAUUUCUCUUUUUUUUGAGACGUAGUCUUGCUCUGUCACCCAGGCUGGAGUGCAGUGGCGCGAUCUCGGCUCACUGCAAGCUCUGACUCCCAGGUUCACGCCAUUCUCCGCCUCAGCCUCCGCAGUAGCUGGGACUACAGGUGCCCACCACCACACCCGACUAAAUUUUGUAUUUUUUUUUUAGUAGAGACAGGGUUUCACCAUGUUAGCCAGGAUGGUCUCGAUUUC